GGGCCGGAGGGCAAAAAUAGGAGGGUAAAAAAGGAGGGCUUGCCAUCUCCAUUUCCAGCCUCAGUCAGACCACUCAGAAACUCUCCUCACAGCUUUUAUCAGCUUAAACCUGGCACAGACAUGUGGUGUGUGAAAGGAUUUGUUGUUCUACAAGCCAGCAGCAAUCACCUGAGAAACCCCAGACCUACUGAAUCAGAAAUUCUGAUUUAGUAAGCCCUCCAUGUGAUCCUGAUGCCUACUAAAAUAUGAGAUUCACUGACUCAAGAGAAAAGUACACUUAAGAGAAUCUUGAUACAUCAGCUAUGGAAUUGAGCACCACUAUACUUCUGCCUCUGUAAAAUAUUACUGACAUCUGCCCUCCCCUUUUUCAUAGGAUUUUAUAAGGAUCAGAUGAACAUGAUCCAAGUACAUCCAUCAUGUUGAAUCUUGGAGAGACCAACGAAGAUAAUUCAGAUAAGAAGAAACCUACAAAUGGCAAGACUUUUUUGGACACAUACUGCCAAAUGUUGGGUAUUCAAAAUGAAUGUUUUGUGCGUUUGAGUAACUCACCAUUCGAGGGGAGGCAGAUAAGUAAGCAAUUACAGUUUCCUUAUUUAGAACUGGAUACACAUACCUCAUACUCUUAAACUAAUUUUCACCUCUUUUUUGCUUACACCAGCAUCUGUAGAACUUACAAAGUAAUAUGACCUUUGAAUGGAUUCACAUAAUCCUUCACCAUAUUUCACAUGAAGAAAACACUGAUCAUUUUUAGUACCUACUUUUUAUGCAUCAACAAAACCAGCAAAGUUCUCUCAUGUGUUUCUGGAUUUGUGUGUAGGUUUGACUAAUUAAUUGAGCAGGAGAAAGAUGGAUUAGUUAGUAUACAAUUUUACAACUCAUCAGCAUCUUCAGGGUUCCAUUAGCUAGACCUGGAACAAUCCAUAGGCACAAUCCUUACCAGGACAUUAAACAGGUUUUCUGUCAUUUGUCAUGAA